GGCGAGUUUGAUCCUGGCUCAGGACGAACGCUGGCGGCGCGCCUAACACAUGCAAGUCGAGCGAGAACCUGGCCUUCGGGCCUGGGGAAAGCGGCGAACGGGUGAGUAACACGUGGGUAACCCACCCUUGGUACCGGGAUAGCCCGAGGAAACUCGGAUUAAUACCGGAUGGCCCAACAGCUCUUCGGGGCGGUUGGAAAAGGUAGCUUCGGCCUCCGACCAAGGACGGGCCCGCGGCGGAUUAGCUUGUUGGUGAGGUAACGGCUCACCAAGGCGACGAUCCGUAGUUGGUCUGAGAGGACGAUCAGCCACACUGGGACUGAGACACGGCCCAGACUCCUACGGGAGGCAGCAGUGGGGAAUCUUGCGCAAUGGGCGAAAGCCUGACGCAGCGACGCCGCGUGAGGGAAGAAGGCUUUCGGGUUGUAAACCUCUUUCAGGAGGGACGAAGCUACUCGGGUUAAUAGCCCAGAGGGUGACGGUACCUCCAGAAGAAGCCCCGGCUAACUACGUGCCAGCAGCCGCGGUAAUAA
rnacentral:rRNA from 1 species